rnacentral:misc_RNA from 1 species
GACAGCUUUGAGAGAUGUGCAGAAUCAAAAAAACCAGCUUGAUGAGUAGCCAUCAAGAAAAUUCACAUUUUUUAGGCGUAAGACCUAUUGCAGAUCCAACUAGGGUAUGUGGAACUAAGAGGCUUACACCUGAGCGUCCUUCAAAUACCAAUUCUAGCAAAUCUUUGAGCAGCAAUGAUACAAAUGACAAUAUACUUAAUGCUCGACGAAGAUUUGAUCUAGAACUGGGUAAAGGAAG